UACAGAGGGUGCGAGCGUUGUCCGGAAUCACUGGGCGUAAAGGGCGCGUAGGCGGUUUUGUAAGUCGGGGGUGAAAUGCUGCGGCUCAACCGCAGCGCUGCCUUCGAGACUGCAAGACUGGAGCACGGUAGAGGCGGAUGGAAUUCCCGGUGUAGAGGUGGAAUGCGUAGAGAUCGGGAAGAACACCAAUGGCGAAGGCAGUCCGCUGGGCCGUUGCUGACGCUGAGGCGCGACAGCGUGGGGAGCAAACAGG
rnacentral:rRNA from 1 species